GGGCAUGGUGAUGUGCGCCUGUAAUCCCAGCUACUUGAGAGGCUGAGGCGAGAGGAUUUGUUGAACCUGGGAGGCUGAGGUUGCCGUGAGCCAAGAUCGUGCCACUGCACUCCAGCCUGGGUGACAAAGUGAGACUCUGUCUCAAAAAAAAAUGAUAAAAACAAACAAAAACAAAAAGUAAAAAACAUGCCAUCAACUCAAGGACUAUCCACUGCCCAAAUGAAUGUGUCCCUCCUCUUCUAUGUCACCCUUCCCUAGUGGGGACCCUAACUUCUCCCGCUUUCCCCAUGCAGCUGCCACUUCUACCUGGUCACCCCUGCCAGCCUCCUCCCUCUCUCCGCUCUGGGACACCCUUCAUUGGUUAACUCUGGCCCUUUCUCCAGCCAGCUCUCUUCAUAGUAGCUUCCCUCCUAUUCUGACUGCUCUGACUGGAUACAUGUUUGAAAAUCAGAGAAAAGCUGUUUCUGAAUGGGAACAGGAUUUGAGCAGCUGAGAUCGGCCAGCAUGGGUCCUUGAGCCCUGGUUCUUAGCAGGGGUCGGGGUGGGAAGGUGAUUUUGUCCCACCCCUACUCCAGGGGACAUUUUUGAUUGUAACAAGGGCACGUUACUGGGGUCUAGUGGGUAAAGGUCACAGAUGCUGCUAGACACCGCACAAUGCACCAGACAGCCCCUAAAAUGAAGAGUUAUCCAGCCCCAAAUGUCAACAGCGCUGUCCUUGAGAAACCCUGCCUGAGAGGUUUGCAGAGGCUUCAUUAUUGAAGCAAGACUGGGUUGUUCACAUUCUCUCUCUGUGUGUCUCUCUGUAUGUCUCUCCCUCUCUGUGUAUCUCUCUCUCUGUCUCUCUGCGUCUCUGUCUCUCUGUGUUUGUCUCUCUGUCUUUGUGUCUCUCUGUGUCUCUCUGUGUCUCUUUCUCUGUGUCUCUGUCUGUGUCUCUGUGUCUCUGUACCACACCCCUUCUUUCUCUCUGUAUCUUUGGAUAUUGUGGCCAUAACUGUGGAAUAAUGGAAUGGAAUGCUGUAAUUAAUUAGAGGCAAACCGUGUUCAAAUAGUAACGAAGAAGAGGCCAGCCUUCGGGACACUUUUAAAACAGUUAGGAGGCCUCUCCCCACAGAAAAGCCCUUCUGUGUGCAAGGCGUUUUGUUCCCAAACAGACAUGGUUGCUGUCAUUUCUGGAAGGCUCUGCUCUCUGUCCCCCUGUCCUUGGGUCUGACUUUGCAACCUCAUGUUGUCUCCGGAGUCUGACUCCUGCGAGUCACUUCUAACCCUGCCUCUUACCCACCGAGUGACCGUGGGCAAGCCUGGCUCAGCCUCAGUGGCCCCAUUGGAAGGGACACUCACUUUUUCUGCGGCGAGCCAGAUGUUGGCUUUUCUGGGCAUGCAGUCUCUGUCAUAGCUACUCAACUCUGCCACCCCAGCACAAAGGCACCAGCCUUCAAUGUGUGCACGAAUGGGCAAGGCUGUGUUCUAGAAUAACUUUAUUGACAAAGACAGGUGGUAGGGUGUUUGGUUGACCCCGACCUACUUUUUGAGAUAGUUUUGAGGAAUGAAUAGCGAUGCCAAACCAAGGGCUUAGCUCCGUGCCUGGUAGGUAAUCAGCACAUAGUCAACAGUAGCUGAUGUUUGUUUCUUCUUCUCGGUCCAUUUUCUCCCGCAUUUCCUUCCUUUUCUUCUUUUUCUCGUCUGCCGUUAUUUCGCCCUCUGCUGUGUAUCUCUGUACCACACAGCUGUCUCUUAUGCUGAUAGGGAAAGAGCCAGAAGAUGCCAGUUCAGAUCUUUUCCUGCCACCUGCCCGCAGUCCCUUGGGUGCUCUGAGCGCCGUGACUGCCACUGUCAUGUCUCCGUGGUGGGGUUGGGAAGAGGGAGUGGGUUAAGGCAGGGGCUCGGCUCUGAGCAUGCUUUGCUGGGCUCUUCGGUUUUUACCCCAGGGACUUAGCCUUGCAGGCUUGAGGUCCAGGCUAGGUAGCCUUGGGCCGCGUCAGACAUAAACAAAGCCAGACCCUAUGAAAGCGGUAAGGGCAGAUUUAAUCAGUAAUGCCUGUUGCAGUAGAAGAAGUGUCCAGCAUGGAACGGAACUCAACUUGGAUUUGUUCAGAGGUCACUGGGUGUUUUAAAAAGAGAAGGAGGCAGAGCGUGGUGGCUCACGCAUGUAAUCCCAGCACUUUGGGAGGCCAAGGCAGGCGGAUCACGAAGUCGGGAGUUUGAGACCAGCCUCACCAGUAUGGUGAAACCCCAUCUCUACUAAAAAUACAAAAAAAAAAAAAAGAAAAAAAA
rnacentral:lncRNA from 1 species